GGUGAAGAUUGUGUCCGCUCUAUAUCUUGAGAACCGUUAUGAUUUCAAAUAUUAUACUUGACAUCCAUUUAAACCAACACCAGAGGGUGUGUCAUGAUGUAUGUACCACUUCCUAGGUCAAAGGUCUGUCUGUCUGUUGGUCUGUCCAUCGCUAACAAAUUUGAUCCACACUAUAUUUUGAGAGGACAGCUGUUAUUAUUUCAUACUUUAUACCUGACAAACAUUUUCAACUUAAACAUAUAUAUUAACCAACACCAGAGAAUGUGUCAUAAUGUAUGCAUCCUAGGUCUAAGGUCAGUCUGUCGGUCUGUCCAUCCGUUCGUUGUUCUUAACAAACUUCAAAUAAUGCUUCAUAUCAGAUUAUCCAUACAACUUAUUUACCCCACGUUAUUGACAGCGGGGCCCACAGAGAUGGCUCCCAUCUCAAUGAUAUCUAGUUAUAAUUCU
rnacentral:lncRNA from 1 species